rnacentral:rRNA from 1 species
GACAGAGGGGGCAAGCGUUGCUCGGAAUUACUGGGCGUAAAGGGCGCGUAGGCGGGAUGGCAAGUCGGUCGUGAAAUCCUUCGGCCCAACCGAAGAACGUCGAUCGAUACUGCUGUUCUUGAGGGUUGCAGAGGAGACUGGAAUUCCCGGUGUAGCGGUGAAAUGUGUAGAGAUCGGGAGGAACACCGGUGGCGAAGGCGGGUCUCUGGGCAAUUCCUGACGCUGAGGCGCGAAAGCGUGGGGAGCAAACGGG